rnacentral:lncRNA from 1 species
GACCUCGACCAGGACACAAACUCAACACUACGGACUCUGAAACUGAAAUAUGCAAAGGCUAUGGCGCGGAUGGGUUGUAGGACAUGAAAACAAUAUGGCACCAGACUUAUGGGACGAACACAAGGACACUCGAAACUAAGGGUAGAUGUGAACCUAACGUUAUGUCUGAAGCUUUGAUUACCACUUGAGGAGAAUAAGUGUGGCCCGAUCUUCCGAAAGUUUCUGGCAACUAUCGAUUUGGUGGAAAAGAGACACAAAUCAAUCCAGCUUGCGAACAACACGGUUCGAAACCUGCAAUUCUUUUUAUUUUUUUUUGAUAUUUUUCUUUUACUUAGGAGCACUCAAGAAGUAACCACAGGAAAUUUGAGCUUGAACAAGAGAAAGACGUGGCCUGUGGAAACUUUUGAAGAUUGCGAAAAAUAUAAAAAAAACUUUAGGAGGUGAAAACUCAAACUUCAGAGGCGAAUUUGGGGAUUCUAAAUUUGUCAAACCCGCAACUGCGGGCAUAGACAGACCCAAAAAUUUUUUCUGAUCGAUUUUGAUAUAUGGAACGUCAAAAUCGGAGUUCGUAUGCGAAAGUUAUGGCUGUUUUACGAACGGACUCCGAAUUAGAGGACAAAACAGUCCGGAAGUGGGAAAAUUUGCGGCGGUGGCUAUAAAUUGAUGGAAACGUUGGGAAGAAACACACAAAUUGGACUCUAACAAGAUCUAACCAGUAACAAGACCUCGACCAGGACACAAACUCAACACUAUGAACUCGGAAACUGAAAUAUGCAAAGGCUAUGGCGCGGAUGGGUUGUAGGACAUGAAAACAAUAUGGCACCAGACUUAUGGGACGAACACAAGGACACUCGAAACUAAAGGGUAGAUGUGAAGCUAACGUUAUGUCUGAAGCUUUGAUUACCACUUGUGGAGAAUAACUGUGGCCCGAUCUUCCGAAAGUUUCUGGCAACUAUCGAUUUGGUGGAAAAGAGACACAAAUCAAUGCAGCUUGCGAACAAAACGUUUCGAAACCUGCAAUUCUUUUUUUUUGAUAUUUUUCUUUUACUUAGGAGCACUCAAGAAGUAACCACAGUUAAUUUGAGCUUGAACAAGAGAAAGACGUGGCCUGUGGAAACUUUUGAAGAUUGCGAAAAAUAUAAAGAAAACUUUAGGAGGUGAAAACUCAAACUUCAGAGGCGAAUUUGGGGAUUCUAAAUUUGUCGAACCCGUCAUUGCGGGCAUAGACAGACCCAAAAAUUUUUUCUGAUCGAUUUUGAUAUAUGGAACGUCAAAAUCGGAGUUCGUAUGCGAAAGUUAUGGCUGUUUUACGAACGGACUCCGAAUUAGAGGACAAAACGGUCCGGAAGUGGGAAAAAUUUGCGAUGGUGGCUACAAAUUGAUGGAAACAGUGGGAAAAAAACUGGACUGUAAGAAGACCUAACCAGUAACAAGACCUAGACUAGGACAAAAACUCAACACUACGGACUCUGAAACUGAAAUAUGCAAAGGCUAUGGCGCGGAUGGGUUGUAGGACAUGAAAACAAUAUGUCACUAGACUUAUGCGACGAACACAAGGACACUUGAAACUAAGGGUAGAUGUAAACCUAACAGCAUGUCUGAAGCAUUGAUUACCACUUGAGGAGAACAAGUGUAGCCCGAUCUUCCGAAAGUUUCUGGCAACUAUCGAUUUGGUGGAAAAGAGACACAAAUCAAUCCAGCUUGCGAACAACACGGUUCGAAACCUGCAAUUCUUUUUUUUGUUCUGAUAUUUUUAUUUUGCUUAGGAGCACUUAAGAAGUAACCACACGAAAUUUGAGCUUGAACAAGUGAAAGACGUGGCCUGUGGAAAUUUUUGAAGAUUGCGAAAAAUAUAAAGAAAAUUUUAGGAGGUGAAAACUCAAACUUCAGAGGCGAAUUUGGGGAUUCUAAAUUUGUCGAACCCGCAAAAGCGGGCAUAGACAGACUCAAAAAUUUUUUCUGAUCGAUUUUGAUAUAUGGAACGUCAAAAUCGGACUUCGUAUGCGAAAGUUAUGGCUGUUUUACGAACGGACUCCGAAUUCGACGACAAAAUAGUCCGGAAGUGGGAAAAUUUGCGGCGGUGGCUAUAAAUUGAUGGAAACGGUGGGAAGAAACACACAAAUUGGACUCUAACAAAACCUAACUAGUAACAAGACCUCGAUGAGGACACAAACUCAACACUACGGACUCUGAAACUGAAAUAUGCAAAGGCUAUGGCGCGGAUGGGUUGUAGGACAUGAAAACAAUAUGGCACCAGACUUAUGGGACGAACACAAGGACACUCGAAACUAAGGGUAGAUGUAAACCUAACGUUAUGUCUGAAGCUUUGAUUACCACUUGAGGAGAAUAAGUGUGGCCCGAUCUUCCGAAAGUUUCUGGCAACUAUCGAUUUGGUGGAAAAGAGACACAAAUCAAUCCAGCUUGCGAACAACACGGUUCGAAACCUGCAAUUCUUUUUUUUGUUCUGAUAUUUUUAUUUUGCUUAGGAGCACUCAAGAAGUAACCACACGAAAUUUGAGCUUGAACAAGAGAAAGACGUGGCCUGUGGAAAUUUUUGAAGAUUGCGAAAAAUAUAAAGAAAACUGUAGGAGGUGAAAACUCAAACUUCAGAGGCGAAUUUGGGGAUUUUAAAUUUGUUGAACCCGCCAGAGCGGGCAUAGACAGACCCAAAAAUUUUUUCUGAUCGAUUUUGAUAUAUGGAACGUCAAAAUCGGACUUCGUAUGCGAAAGUUAUGGCUGUUUUACGAACGGACUCCGAAUUCGACGACAAAAUAGUCCGGAAGUGGGAAAAUUUGCGGCGGUGGCUAUAAAUUGAUGGAAACGGUGGGAAGAAACACACAAAUUGGACUCUAACAAGACCUAACCAGUAACAAGACCUCGAUGAGGACACAAACUCAACACUACGGACGCUGAAACUGAAAUAUGCAAAGGCUAUGGCGCGGAUGGGUUGUAGGACAUGAAAACAAUAUGGCACCAGACUUAUGGGACGAACACAAGGACACUCGAAACUAAGGGUAGAUGUAAACCUAACGUUAUGUCUGAAGCUUUGAUUACCACUUGAGGAGAAUAAGUGUGGCCCGAUCUUCCGAAAGUUUCUGGCAACUAUCGAUUUGGUGGAAAAGAGACACAAAUCAAUCCAGCUUGCGAACAACACGGUUCGAAACCUGCAAUUCUUUUUAUUUUUUUUUAUAUUUUUCUUUUACUUAGGAGCACUUAAGAAGUAACCACAGGAAAUUUGAGCUUGAACAAGUGAAAGACGUGGCCUGUGGAAACUUUUGAAGAUUGCGAAAAAUAUAAAGAAAAUUUUAGGAGGUGAAAACUCAAACUUCAGAGGCGAAUUUGGGGAUUUUAAAUUUGUCGAACCCACAACAGCGGGCAUAGACAGACCCAAAAAUUUUUUCUGAUCGAUUUUGAUAUAUGGAACGUCAAAAUCAGAGUUCGUAUGCGAAAGUUAUGGCUGUUUUACGAACGGACUCCGAAUUAGAGGACAAAACAGUCCGGAAGUGGGAAAAUUUGCGGCGGUGGCUAUAAAUUGAUGGAAACGUUGGGAAGAAACACACAAAUUGGACUCUAACAAGAUCUAACCAGUAACAAGACCUCGACUAGGACACAAACUCAACACUACGGACUCUGAAACUGAAAUAUGCAAAGGCUAUGGCGCGGAUGGGUUGUAGGACAUGAAAACAAUAUGGCACCAGACUUAUGGGACGAACACAAGGACACUCAAAACUAAGGGUAGAUGUGAAUCUAACAUUAUGUCUGAAGCUUUGAUUACCACUUGAGGAGAAUAAGUGUGGCCCGAUCUUUCGAAAGUUUCUGGCAACUAUCGAUUUGGUGGAAAAGAGACACAAAUCAAUGCAGCUUGCGAACAACACGGUUCGAAACCUGCAAUUCUUUUUAUUUUUUUUUUGAUAUUUAUAUUUUACUUAGGAGCACUCAAGAAGUAACCACAGGAAAUUUGAGCUUGAACAAGAGAAAGACGUGGCCUGUGGAAACUUUUGAAGAUUGCGAAAAAUAUAAAGAAAACUAACUCAAACUUCAGAUGCGAAUUUGGGGAUUGUAAAUUUGUUGAACCCGCCAAUGGAGGGCAUAGACAGACAUCGAUUUUGAUAUAUGGAACGUCAAAAUCGGAGUUCGUAUGCGAAAGUUAUGGCUGUUUUUCGAACGGACUCCGAAUUAGAGGACAAAACAGUCCGGAAGUGGGAAAAUUUGCGGCGGUGGCUAUAAAUUGAUGGAAACGUUGGGAAGAAACAUACAAAUUGGACUCUAACAAGACCUAACCAGUAACAAGACCUCGCGCAGGACACAAACUCAACACUACGGACUCUGAAACUGAAAUAUGCAAAGGCUAUGGCGCGGAUGGGUUGUAGGACAUGAAAACAAUAUAGCACUAGACAUAUGGGACGAACACAAGGACACUCGAAACUAAGGAUAGAUGUGAACCUAACGGUACGUCUGAAGCUUUGAUUACCACUUGAGGAGAACAAGUGUGGCCCGAUCUUCCGAAAGGUUCUGGUAACUAUCGAUUUGGUGGAAACGAGACCCAAAUCAAUCCACCUUGCGAACAACACGAUUUGAAACCCUACAAUUCUUUUUAUUUUUUUAUUUGAUAUUUUUCUUUUACUUAGGAGCACCGAAGAAGUAGCCACAGGAAAUUUGAGCUUAAACAAGUGAAAGACGUGGCCUGUGGAAUUUUUUGUAGAUUGCAAAAAAUAUGAAAAUAAACUUUAGGAGGUGAAAACUCAAACUUCAGAGGCGAAUUUGGGGAUUCUAAAUUUGUCGAACCCGCCUUUGGGGGAUAGACAGACCCAAAAAAUUUUUCUAAUUGAUUUUGAUAUAUGGAACGUCAAAAUCGGAGUUCGUAUGCGAAAGUUAUGGCUGUUUUACGAACGGACUCCGAAUUAGAGGACAAAACAGUCCGGAAGUGGGAAAAAUUUGCGGCGGUGGUUAUAAAUUGAUGGAAACGGUGGGAAGAAACACACAAAUUGGACUCUAACAAGACCUAACCAGUAACAAGACCUCGACCAGGACACAAACUCAAUACUAUGGACUCUGAAACUGAAAUAUGCAAAGGCUAUGGCGCGGAUGGGUUGUAGGACAUGAAAACAAUAUGGCACCAGACUUAUGGGACGAACACAAGGACACUCGAAACUAAGGGUAGAUGUGAACCUAACGGUAUGUCUGAAGCUUUGAUUACCACUUGAGGAGAAUAAGUGUGGCCCGAUCUUCCGAAAGGUUCUGGUAACUAUCGAUUUGGUGGAAAAGAGACACAAAUCAAUAUAGCUUGCGAACAACACGGUUCGAAACCUACCAUUCUUUUUAUUUUUUUGAUAUUUUUCUUUUACUUAGGCGCACUCAAGAAGUAACCACAGGAAAUUUGAGCUUAAACAAGUGAAAGACGUGGCCUAUGGGAUUUUUUGAAGAUUGCGAAAAAUAUAAAAAAAACUUUAGGAGGUCAAAACUCAAACUUCAGGGGCGAAUUUGGGGAUUCUAAAAUUAUUGAACCCGCCUCUAGCAGAGAUAGAUAGAUCCAAAAAUUUGUUCUGAUCGAUUUUGAUAUAAGGAACGUCAAAAUCGGAGUUCGUAUGCGAAAGUUAUGGCUGUUUUACGAACGGACUCCGAAUUAGAGGACAAAACCGUCCGGAAGUGGGAAAAAUUUGCGGUGGUGGCUAGAAAUUGAUGGAAACGGUGGAAAAAAAACACACAAACUGGACUUAAACAAGACCUAACUAGUAACGAGACCUCGACCAGGACAAAAACUAAAAACUACGGAUUCUGAAACUGAAAAUAUGCAAAGGCUAUAGCGCGGAUGGGUUGUAGGACAUGAAAACAAUAUGACACUAGACUUAUGAGACGAACACAAGGACACUCGAAACUAAGGGUAGAUGUGAACCUAACGGUAUGUCUGAUGCUUUGAUUACCACUUGAGGAGAACAAGUGUGGCCCGAUCUUCCAAAAGGUUCUGGAAACUAUCGAUUUCGUGGAAACGAGACACAAAUCAAUCCAGCUUGCGAACAACACGAUUCGAAACCCUACAAUUCUUUUUAUUUUUUUUGAUAUUUUUCUUUUACUUAGGAGCACUCAAGAAGUAACCAUAGGAAAUUUGAGCUUAAACAAGUGAAAGACGUGAGCUGUGGAAACUUUUGAAAAUUGCAAAAAAUAUAAAAAAACUUUUAGAGGUGAAAACACAAACUUCAGAGGCGAAUUUGGGGAUUCUAAAAUUGUCAAACCCGCACACGGCGGGGAUAGACAGAUCCAAAAUUUUGGUUUCAUCGAUUUUGAUUUAUGGAACGUCAAAAUCGGAGUUCGUAUGCGAAAAUUAUGGCUGUUUUACGAACGGACACCGAAUUAGAAGACAAAACGGUCCGGAAGUGGGAAAAAUUUGCGGCGGUGGCUAGAAAUUGAUGGAAACGGUGGGAAGAAACACACAAAUUGGACUCUAACAAGACCUAACCAGUAACAAGAUCUCGACCAGGACACAAACUCAACACUACGGACUCUGAAACUGAAAUAUGCAAAGGUUAUGGCGCGGAUGAGUUGUAGGACAUGAAAACAAUAUAGCACUAGACUUAUGCGACAAACACAAGGACACUCGAAACUAAGGAUAAAUGUGAACCUAACGGUACAUCUGAAGCUUUGAUUACCACUUGAGGAGAACAAGUGUGGCCCGAUCUUCCGAAAGGUUCUGGUAACUAUCGAUUUGGUGGAAACGAGACCCAAAUCAAUCCACCUUGCGAACAACACGAUUCGAAACCCUACAAUUCUUUUUAUUUUUUUUAUUUGAUAUUUUUAUUUUACUUAGGAGCACCGAAGAAGUAGCAACAGGAAAUUUGAGCUUGAACAAGUGAAAGACGUGGCCUGUGGAAUUUUUUGUAGAUUGCGAAAAAUAUGAAAAUAAACUUUAGGAGGUGAAAACUCAAACUUUAGAGGCGAAUUUGGGUAUUCUAAAUUUGUCGAACCCGGCUUUCGCGGGGAUAGACAGACCCAAAAAAAUUUUCUGAUUGAUUUUGAUAUAUGGAACGUCAAAAUCGCAGUUCGUAUGCGAAAGUUAUGGCUGUUUUACGAACGGACUCCGAAUUAGAGGACAAAACAGUCCGGAAGUGGGAAAAAUUUGCGGCGGUGGCUAUAAAUUGAUGGAAACGGUGGGAAGAAACACACAAAUUGGACUCUAACAAGACCUAACCAGUAACAAGACCUCGACCAGGACACAAACUCAACACUACGGACUCUGAAACUGAAAUAUGCAAAGGCUAUGGCGCAGAUGGGUUGUAGGACAUGAAAACAGUAUGGCACCAGACUUAUGGG